CCUACGGGAGGCAGCAGUGAGGAAUAUUGGUCAAUGGACGAGAGUCUGAACCAGCCAAGCCGCGUGAAGGAUGACUGCCCUGUGGGUUGUAAACUUCUUUUAUCAGGGAAUAAAACGUGGCACGCGUCCCUUUUUGCAUGUACUUUAUGAAUAAGGAUCGGCUAACUCCGUGCCAGCAGCCGCGGUAAUACGGAGGAUCCGAGCGUUAUCCGGAUUUAUUGGGUUUAAAGGGUGCGCAGGCGGAUUGUUAAGUCAGCGGUCAAAUCGUGGGGCUCAACCCCGUCCAGCCGUUGAAACUGGGGAUCUAGAGUGGGCGAGAGGUAUGCGGAAUGCGUGGUGUAGCGGUGAAAUGCAUAGAGAUCGCGCAGAACCCCGAUUGCGAAGGCAGCAUACCGGUGCACAACUGACGCUCAGGCACGAAAGCGUGGGUAUCGAACAGGAUUAGAUACCCUUGUAGUC
rnacentral:rRNA from 1 species